UAAAAUUUCCAAGGCGGGAAGCGAAUCUGAUAAAAUUUUCCACUUUCCACCGAACUCUGAAUUGGCGCCUCAAGAAAGAAAACGCCAUUGUCGGCCGAGCAGCGAAGCUUUCCGUUACAGAAUCGGGAAUUGAUAGCUGAGAAGGCGGCUAGGGCUUGAAGGAACGAACAGAUUAUUCUGCGUUGUCUUCACGUUUUGAGUCGUCAAUGCCGGAUUCUAUCCCUCGCGACACUGACAUCAUGCAUGUUCAUUACGAGGUUGAAGAUGACGACAAUGGAGGAGACGAAGAAGAGGAUGAUGAGGAGACUGACGACGGUGAGGAAACAGUGGAAGAGCAUGCGGGAGAAGAAAUUGAUUAUGUUACUGAGAUUGUGCAAUCUCCUAGGGCUUCACAAACAGGGCCUUCUGAAUCUGCUCAAGCUAGGGUUUCGUUUUGGGUUGAGGAAGAGGUAGACAAGCGUAGAAGGACCGAGGGAGGCGAAGCGACUUCUUCACAGAAUGAGUGCAAUAACGACUUCACUUGCUCUAUUUGCAUGGAGCCGUGGACCAAUUACGGUGACCACCAUAUCUGUUGUCUUCCUUGUGGGCAUCUGUAUGGCAUGUAUUGUAUCAAUAGAUGGCUGCGACAACAUAAAAAUGCAGGGAAGUGUCCACAGUGCAAUAGGAAGUGUUCCACAAAGGAUGUCAGGAAACUUUUUGCACCACGAAUUGCGGCUGCUGAUGGAGAAUCUCAAAAGAGAAUCCAGUCACUUGAGGCUACUUGUGCCUCUCUUGAGAAGAAGGAUGCUGAUUGGUCUAAAAAAGAAGUUGAAUGGAAAAAGAGAGAAACAGAUUUGCAGUUGAAAGUUCGUGAACUCACUGAGAGGACAAAUUAUUUGGAGCAUUUAUUAGAAGAUUCACAGCGAAAACCUGUGCUAGCCAAUCUUGAUUGCACCUUUCACGGGAAAUCUGUAUCUGAGCAUAACUUUGGCUUAAGGUUUAGCGGCCAGGUUGCCUCUUGCAGUUUCAUCUUAAAGAAAGAGCUUCUGGUGGAUGGUGCUCGUUUAAUCGAUGUAGAUGCCUCUAACCAAGUUGUUUUGGUUGCAAGAAGGCAGUCUGGUUUUGGUGGUACGCAUGUACUGACUAAGAUAAGCUUAAUGUCUCCAUAUGAAAGGGAAGAUAUAAGAAUUCCUUUUUGUACUAAUGCUGUAAGGGACUUGCAUAUUUCUCCGGCUGGUAGAAACCUUGUGCUUUUUUCUUCAUUGGGAAAGAAAUUAGCUAUUCUCAGUAUGGAAAGCAACCAUAUCAUCCUCGACUAUGAUUUACCGGAUGCUGCUUGGUCGUGUUCAUGGGAUCAGAAUAGUUCACACUAUAUUUAUGCUGGAUUAAAGAAUGGUUCGCUCGUGAUGUUUGAUAUGCGACAAACUGUGGGUCCCCUGAAAACCUUACAAGGCCUGACAAACAAUCCAAUCCAUACAAUACAUUCUCUUUCAAGUUACUCAACUCUUUCUAAUGAUGUUAAAUCUGUUCUGUCUGCUUCUGCAUAUGGUGUAUGUCAAUGGAAUUUUGAUGCAGUAGGAGAAGGGCCAUUUUUGGUUCCCGAAACAAAUCAAGGAGUUUGUACAUCUCUUGCCUAUUGCUUGGGUAGAGACGAAAUUGUUGCUUCGUACCGUCCCAAAGUUGGAAUGUCAAAUGAGAUAGUUUAUUCUCAGCCUUCACCUUCUCCUUCUCACACUGCUGGGCAUGGAGUUGUGGGCUGCCAUGUGGCAUUCAAGAAAGAAGACAAUCUCCAACAAUUUUCAAAGUUGGGUUCAGCAUAUGCCUAUGUAGAUGCAAUACGUUUGCCGAAAUCUACCAUCAUAGACCUCCAAGACUGCAAUAGCUUGUUUGUAUCCGCAGAUGCUGUAAUGGGUGACUUGAUCUUGCAGGAACUGCCUUCUUUUAGGUCCAUUCAGCAUCUUAAAGUACAUAAGCAUCCUGUUCGUGAUGUGAAGUAUUCGUGUGGCCUCGAUCGAGGAUUGCUUAGUUGUUUAAGUGAUGAUACCCUUCACCUUUUUUGCACCAAAGGCUUAUGAACAAGUACUUUUAGGGGACCCCACUCAAAAAAAGUCCUAUUGUGUACUAUUACAAAGUCGUAUAUAUUAUGUUUAUAUAUUUAGUUGGGGCAUGUGACUAAUAUCAGAGGCAGACAAUUUUAGGCGUUGAAGACCAGGAUUUAUUUUCAUCUUUUGGGCAUCCACAUCGCUUCCUUAAUCGAAAUUCAUCGAUCCAAUGUGAUUAAAUUGACUAGACAUUUAAAUGGAUCGUUGUAUUAAAUAAUUUUAAGCCAACUAUUGAUUUUCUA